rnacentral:rRNA from 1 species
CACGUAGGGCGCAAGCGUUGUCCGGAAUUAUUGGGCGUAAAGAGCUCGUAGGCGGUCUGUUGCGUCCGCUGUGAAAACUCGGGGCUUAACCCCGAGCCUGCAGUGGAUACGGGCAGACUAGAGGUAGGUAGGGGAGAAUGGAAUUCCCGGUGUAGCGGUGAAAUGCGCAGAUAUCGGGAGGAACACCGGUGGCGAAGGCGGUUCUCUGGGAUGGUACUGACGCUGAGACGCGAAAGCGUGGGGAGCGAACAGG